GAUGAAGAACGCAGCGAAAUGCGAUAAGUAAUGUGAAUUGCAGAAUUCAGUGAAUCAUCGAAUCUUUGAACGCACAUUGCGCCCGCCAGUAUUCUGGCGGGCAUGCCUGUCCGAGCGUCAUUUCAACCAUCAAGCCCCAGGCUUGUGUUGGGGACCUGCGUCCGACGCAGGCCCUGAAAACCAGUGGCGGGCUCGCUGUCCACACCGAGCGUAGUAACUAACCUCGCUACGGGAGCGGCGCGGGCGCCUGCCGUAAAACCCCCAAUUUUCACAAGGUUGACCUCGGAUCAGGUAGGAAUACCCGCUGAACUUAAGCAUAUCAUAAGCGGAGGA
rnacentral:misc_RNA from 1 species